rnacentral:rRNA from 1 species
AUUGAACGCUGGCGGCAUGCCUUACACAUGCAAGUCGAACGGCAGCACGGGUGCUUGCACCUGGUGGCGAGUGGCGAACGGGUGAGUAAUACAUCGGAACAUGUCCUGUAGUGGGGGAUAGCCCGGCGAAAGCCGGAUUAAUACCGCAUACGAUCCACGGAUGAAAGCGGGGGACCUUCGGGCCUCGCGCUAUAGGGUUGGCCGAUGGCUGAUUAGCUAGUUGGUGGGGUAAAGGCCUACCAAGGCGACGAUCAGUAGCUGGUCUGAGAGGACGACCAGCCACACUGGGACUGAGACACGGCCCAGACUCCUACGGGAGGCAGCAGUGGGGAAUUUUGGACAAUGGGCGAAAGCCUGAUCCAGCAAUGCCGCGUGUGUGAAGAAGGCCUUCGGGUUGUAAAGCACUUUUGUCCGGAAAGAAAUCCUUGGCUCUAAUACAGUCGGGGGACGACGGUACCGGAAGAAUAAGCACCGGCUAACUACGUG